AGAUAAAGUUAAAGAAAAUGGAAAAACAAGACAAACAAGCUUUUGACAUGACUGGACCAGAAGCAAGUAUUGUCCCAUUAGGUUUAAAACAGCAUGUAUGGAUUUCAUCAGUGUCACACUUAAUAUGAUGAAUAAUAUGAAAAAAUGAAGACUUUAUAACACCAAGAAUGAAAGCAAGUGGGUAUGCAGUUACCGUAUGGUCGUCAGCUGCAGUUACAAGUAAAUCACCAUUAUGUGAAAAUGUACAGGUCUACAUAAAAAUAUUUAUAUUGUCAGAAAAAUAAAAAAUAAAACAAGUUAUGGAAGAUGAAGCAGAAUGAUAUCUAGGCUUUUUACAACAUAUCUAACCUUUAUCCAAAUAGUUUAAUCUUUUCCAACCUGCCUAACCUGUAUCCUACAUGUCCAUAGUGUAUCCAGCCUGUCCAACCUGUAU